UGCAGAGGCGGCCGUCGAUGAAGACC
rnacentral:piRNA from 1 species